GCGAUGCCGCGUGAGUGAAGAAGGCCUUUGGGUUGUAAAGCUCUUUCGUCGGGGAAGAAAAUGACUGUACCCGAAUAAGAAGGUCCGGCUAACUUCGUGCCAGCAGCCGCGGUAAUACGAAGGGACCUAGCGUAGUUCGGAAUUACUGGGCUUAAAGAGUUCGUAGGUGGUUGAAAAAGUUGGUGGUGAAAUCCCAGAGCUUAACUCUGGAACUGCCAUCAAAACUUUUCAGCUAGAGUAUGAUAGAGGAAAGCAGAAUUUCUAGUGUAGAGGUGAAAUUCGUAGAUAUUAGAAAGAAUACCAAUUGCGAAGGCAGCUUUCUGGAUCAUUACUGACACUGAGGAACGAAAGCAUGGGUAGCGAAGAGGAUUAGAUACCCUCGUAGUCCAUGCCGUAAACGAUGUGUGUUAGACGUUGGAAAUUUAUUUUCAGUGUCGCAGGGAAACCGAUAAACACACCGCCUGGGGAGUACGACCGCAAGGUUAAAACUCAAAUGAAUUGACGGGGACCCGCACAAGUAGUGGAGCAUGUGGUUUAAUUCGAAGAUACGCGCAGAACCUUAC
rnacentral:rRNA from 1 species